rnacentral:lncRNA from 1 species
ACUUAAAUCGGUUGAUGUUAUGAGGUGGACCUCCUCCUCAGAAGAAUAAGGCAGGAGGAUGAAGCAGCUGACAGAAGCAUCCCAAAAUCAAGAUCUGAGGGUAAUGGUGGCCCUUGCCCGAGAUACAUUCCACAUGACCAGUAUCCUAGGUCUUAUAAUGCCAAUGAAGAGUUGGGGAAAUGUUAGGUGACUUUAUACAUAUUUCAGCAGGCAGAAGCAGCAACUGUGGAACAGGUAUUCCAGAUCUGUUUCCAACUCACAGGAAAGUCUGCAAAUCUAAAACUUUGAAAUAAUUGGUGAAAGUAUCUAAAAACAGUACAGCUCUCUUUUUUUUAAGAAAAGAAGAGGAAAAAAGAGUGGCAGAACAAGAUAAUGGAUUUAAAUGCUUGUUUGCUUCAGAUUCCUAUGCAGAAGUUGUUGCUUAAGUGAAUGUUGAUAAUUAUAUUUGAAAUUUUAAUCCAUUGGACAUUUCUCCCUUUCCUAUACAGCUGUUUUUUGAAACUGGAAGGGGAAUCAGGUUUCCAGACACACACUUCCUCCCACUGUAGCUGUACUCGAGUCAGAAAAGGGAAAUUCUCACCUAUUUAAACUCUACCAGCACUUCAACAUUCACUCUAAGAGUGCGUGCUAACUGUUGUACGGUGGCCUUUAUGCCGGGUCACCACUCAUGUACACUGUUAGCAGACCCCAGUGCUAGUUUUUAAGUUGCCAAUGCCCUUUCCCCUAAGCCCAUCUCUGCUGCACUCUAUCCAGGCUCACUGCUCACCCUGACCUGGCGGUGACUUCUCCAACAACUCCCCUGCUGCCAUUCAUUUUCUGUCUCUUCUCCCUUUGGCAAGUUCAAGUGCUUUUUCUAUUCUUUCAAGCCCUUUUAGCUGCCUAUCCUCAGAGGUGUGGUGGGAUUCAUUGCAAGUCUCUGUGUCGACAGCUUCACAUGGCCUCAGAAGUUUAAGCUGCUAUGAGAAUCUGCUGACUAGUUCCUGUCCCAGUGUUCUCCUCCCUGAUAAAAACUGUCCAGUCUCCCAAGAAAUGAUCAUCUAUACCUGUCAUUCACUAACUCCUGCCAAUUCCAGGAAGAUAAAACUGCAAGAAAAUAAUAAACCUUCUAACUUGCUUUGCUUUGUCUUAGUGAUGCUCCUUUGCUUGUCUGUAUUGGGCAAGUCAAUUUGUGUCCUGUCUUGUUUCUACUGAGCAAGCAGAGAUAUUCUGUACUAAUUUACAUGUGACUUUUCAGAGGGUGGAAUUAACAUCUUCUACCUUUAUCUG